AAAUGAGUUAAGAACUAGAAGCAUGGGAAAGGGAGCUAUGGACAUGAUCUUCAACUCUCAUUAUGGUGCAUGAAGCUGUCCAAUAUCCUAAGACCUUCUGAUCAGACCAGACCUAGCGGAUAACAGAGCCUAUUCUCUCAGGAGAUAAGAGUAGAUCCUUGUCUAUCCUGGGAAUCCACGACGCUGCGUGCCCAAACCAGCAUGUCUGGGAAGAAAUGUUUGUCUCAAGUUUCUAUGGUAGAGCACGUUACCAGAACCUGACCGACUCCACUGCCCAAAGACACUAGACUAACUUCCAUAUGCAUUAGGACCUGGCUGAGUUCCAGCUCUGACUCCACCUUUACAGUAACUGCUUGAAAUCAUGGUAUCCCCAUGGUAUCCUCAUGGAGGGGAGGCUGACACCACUGCUCUGCUGUUGCUCACACAUUGUCACCUGGCCCACACAAGGAACCUGGGAGCCUUGAAAACCCUUAGCCUGGCCUCAACUCUUCUGCACACUGGUAUGGACCCACAGAUAUUGGACCAGCAGCAAUGUGUAACUGGUGUGCCUCUCCAAACUAUCUUGUCAUACCACCAUAGCAAUUCAGGUUGGUGUUCGAGGUGCCCUUCACCUCACUUCCCCCAGGUUGUUCUGAACCUAUUGAAAACUAGACCAGAGGUCACAGAAUCAGACUAGCUUUGUUAGUUACACUGGAUCAGAGAACCAAGUUCACAAGAAAUGGUCCCCCUGAAUCAGGCUGAGUAAACUUUCUGCCAUAAGAUGGAGAAACCCUGCUUAGUGAGGUCUUCCAUACAGAAACUAGAGAGGGAAGACUGUUCUGAAAGCCAAAGAGAAGGGUUCAGCUACAUAUGCCCCAUAAGUUAUUCCCAGUCUCAUUAACCCAAUCCUCCUCUUCUCUUGGAUAAAACUGAGUAAGGAGAUAGGAAGGAAAGCAAAAGCUAGAAUGGAACUUCCUAGUAUUUCAAGGAAAAGAGUAGUUCUAUUUCACAGGGACAGCUAAGCUACCCUGUGAGCCAGAUUUUUUUUCCCCUCAAACAGUUUAAUACACAACCCAACAGAUACUAGGAAAGCAAGACUGACAUAAUUACCCACCCACAAAAGACAGUAUGAGCUUUAGAGUAGCCAGCCUUGUCUAGCCCUAAUAAGAAACAAAUGAAGCCCCUAAGACUUUUCCCAUAACUUGCCAACUAACAAAGGUUUUACCUCACACUUUUAAAAUAUUGACGACUAUGGAUGAGAACCCUGCAGAUUUGUGCCAAGACUGACUUUUGAAUAGACUUAAUUGUAAACUUGGUAACUUCACUGGGUUUUCUUCCUUGAAUAUUUUUGUCCUUUGUUCAAGGAACCAACAGCUGACUCCUAACACUGCACGAGAACCGACUGAAGUUUUCCUUUCAUGUGAUCAACAAUUACUUCUAGGCUGCUACAAUGCUUGAAACCCUACCAGUCAUUACAUACCCCCAACUCUUUCCUUUCCCUGAAUAUAAACCUUCUGGACAAUGCUACUUGGAGUUUUCUGCCUACA
rnacentral:lncRNA from 1 species